GUGCGCGUGUCCUAAACGGACCUGACGUUAUCCCGGUCGGCCAUCGGGGUCACCACGGACGACUAUACAGGGUCGCCCGCGACCAAUGGCUGACCGUUACCGGACACGAUAGCAAAGGUUCCGCGCGAGGCGACGGACGACAGUUCAAAAGCCUACACCGUGCCACUACCCUUUUUCAGCGAUUACUUUCGGAUAGGUUUUAUUAUAUCAUCGUGAUGCGUUAUGGACAGUGCAAAACCGAUAUCAUUCAAUCAGGAACACGAUAGUCGAUGAUUAUUUUAAAUUCAUUAAUAUUACUCGAAUUACACACGGAAUAAACAGAAUAAACAUCAAAUUACCUAUACGGCGUAUACUAUAUACGGCAGUUAGCGGUGCACGAUCAAAGCUAGGAACCAGGAAGGAUUUUGUUGACAUUAUAAAAAACUUUUUUAUAUAAGUUCCUAUAUGUUUAAUUUUUGAAUCUUAUAAGAAUACAGUUUUGAUGAAAAGAAGAAUCGAUCGAUUGUUUGGUAAAUUAAUUAUGAAACAAAAUAAAAAAUCUAUUUAUUUAUAAAUAUUGUAAUAAUGAGCAGCAAGUUAUUUUAUUGUUUUUUUUAUAUAUAUUUUUACGAAAAUUAUUGUACCCACAACUGUACCGAUUAUUUUAAAACAAUUCCCAUUACUCAUAUUUAUU